rnacentral:lncRNA from 1 species
UUACUAUAUACAUUAUUUUCUUAGCUCUGCUCACUUAACUUUGUAUUAAUUCAUAUGUCUUUCCAGGUUUUUCUGAACUCAUCUUGUUCAUUAUUCCUUAUGAGUCAAUAGAAUUAUCUUACAAUCAUUUACCACCACUUGUUUAUUGAAUCCUCAAGUGAUGGACAACCCCUCAGUUUCCAGUUAUUUGCCACUACAAAAAGAACUGCUAAAAAUAUUUUGGUACAGUCUUCUUGUAUGGCUUCAAGUGACAGAAUGCUGCAGUCUCUGAAGAAUUAAAAUUGUGUGUCAUCUAAAGGGCAGUGAAGAAGUGCAUGGUGGACACAAACUGUCUAUAAUACAUUGUAAAAAAAGGAAUUAUGCAGAAGAAGCAGUGUGAUGAAUGUCAUCAAAGAAAUGGAUGAUUGAAAAAGAAGUUGGGCCAGUCUCAUGGGGAGAGUGAGAGAUGACUGACUGAUGGAUAGCUCUUGUGCUCCAUAAAAGUCUUUCUCCCUCUGUAUGCAGGGUCCAGUGCCAAAGCUGAGGAAGGUGACUGAUCCCAAUUUGUUAUGCAGUUGUCAUUCAUUGCUUAAUUAAUAAAAAUGCUCAGAUGCUCGAACUUU